CUGAGAUUUAAAGAGAGAACAGCCGGAACGCUACAGAGAGAAAGGUUUUUGCUUCUAACAAGGGUUUCAUCAGAACCAAACGGUAUCACUCUGCCAAGGGGUGACCUCCACCGGGAUCCCAGGAUGCCCACCCACACAGACACAUCUCUUCCAGGGGCCUUCAUCACCCCAGCACCCCGGAGGACAACAUGCUGGUCCACUGCGUUGAUGACUCCCUCCGUAGUGACAAGGUCUUAGAGCGAGAAAUCUCAGGCAAACGUCUGAAACCUUGCUAAGACCCAAGUGUGCCACAGAGUAGGAGACAAACCUCUUGAAAAUUCAGGAAACUGACCUGCAGUAGGUUCAGAUAUCUCUUCCAAUUAUGAGGGGGAAAGGGAGAUUUCUAUACCCUACAACUCCUUACUAAAACACGGUACAGGCCUCCCGCACCUUGAGCAAGGCACCCAUCAUUCUGCCUCCGCCAAGUGGGGCCCACAGCAGGGGGAGGCUCGCUGGCCGGUCUAGGCUACAGCACAAGCAGCAUUGCCUCCUGACACUUAAGAACCUUGAGAUCCAGCAGGGCUUAAAGUGUCUGCAGUGGUUGGGGAGACUGUAUCAAGAAUCAGUGUCUGUCCCUUGGGUUUUGGAGCAAAAUCACCACCUCUUCAGCAAACAACAAUUUCCUUUAGAGACACAGUUCAGCAGUUGCUAUUAGACUUAACAGAGACUGUACUUCUAGUCAUGCCUGGAUCCCUACAGAGCGCCAAGGGACCCAGUAUCACUGGAUGGAAUCCCAUCUACCAGGCCACCACCUGGGCCAUGCCAAGCAGCAGCCCCACCUAAGGUAUAUACAAGAGACCAGGGCAAGCAGGUCCUGAGAACCCAAGAAAUUGCAUGAGGAGGCAACUCCAGCAUAUCUACUCCAAUGGCACAGUACCUCUUCCCCCACCCACCCUACCAUCCAAGGGUCUCCCUGUGACCAGCCAACUAAGGAAAAAGAAGCUCAAGCCUAGUUUGUAGGCUCUGCACAAAAUGCUUGCACCAGCUGAAAACAGACUUUACCACAGCUCCUCCCUGGAAAGGCCCUAAAGAGGGGUAAAAGGAGUAAUCUUCCAGUGAGCAGAACCCCAGUGGCACAGUUGAUUUUCCACUGGGUCCUAGAAGGAGAAAUGAGAGCACAAAUGCCCAGUGAAUGGGGGAAUGUCUAAAGGCUUGGUCUGGUGGUCAUAGCUUGUAAAGAACAGUGUUGGGGGAGUUUGGGGGACUGGGCCUCUCAGAAUGAACCCUAGGUAAUAGGACAUCUGGUCCCCACUGCAGAGGAGGCUCUCAGGAAUCAGGUAGACAAGUUGACCCAUUCUGAGGAUGCCAGUGAACCUCUGUCCCCAGCUGCCCCCAUGCAUGUUCGGUGGGCUCAUGCACACAGAACCAUGGAGGCAAGGGUGGAGAUUCUGGCCUGCUGUCCCUCCCAGGGCAGCUCUACCACCACCCUCCCAAAUGUGGCAGCGAUACCAACUGAGUCCCCACAGGAGCACAUACCCUCGGGAACCAGGCUCUUUCCAUCAGAGAUGGGAAAGCCAGUUAGCCUCCCUGGAACAGACCUCUAUCUGGAAUAUCGAUUUGUUCCCCCCACCCAGCCACCCAUCAUGCUUCUGCCAAUCUUUGGAACUGCCAACUGCCUUGCAUGCCACCUCACAUUGUGCUGCUCCUGGCCAAGGAACUCACUUCACAGACAAAAAAGAGGCAAUGGUAUGGCACAUGGAAUUCACUGAUCUUACCCUACAUCCAACACCCAGAAGUAGUUGGCAUUCCAGAAUAAUGGAGUGAGUAGAAGACCUCAUAGACUCAGUUAUGGUGCCAGAUGGAAGCCAAUGACAUUUCAGGGUAAGUACCAUCUUGUGGGAUGCAGUGUGUACUCUGGACCUGCAAAUACCCUGCAACACUCUUUCCCGGUAGAACACUCAAGUCAGGGAAGCAAUGGGUAUAUACACCAAUGACUCUUUGCUUCCCACCUGCCAAACCCCAGGCUCAGCCAGUUCAGAGGGCUUGGUGCUUGAGAGAAGACAUAAAGGGAGGACGCAGCAAUGCAUCCAAUGAAGAGAAAGGACCACUUGGCUGAUUGGGGAUAAUCGUGCCACUGAAUCAACAGAGAGAAUGUUGUCCAAGGUAACUGAUGCCGAAACUCAAGAGGAAGUAGGGCUGUUCACAUCGAUAGGAAUGGAAGGGGUGUUCUAAAUCCAACACAAUCUAGGGGGAUGCAUCCUGUUACUGCAGGGUCUUGUGAUAGAGAUGAUCAAGUCUACAGUAACCCCAUAGUGGUGGGACCACCAAGAGCUCAGAGCCAGCAGGGGUAGAGAGAUAAGUCCACCUCCAGGUGAGGAGCCUACCCUCAGUGAGGUGUUCAUUGAUGAUAAAAGAACAAAGAGUAAGAGGAGAAGAAAAAGUUACAAACACCAACUAGAUAGCUGCUGGGCCAGUUGCAUAAAUGAGGAGAGUGUCUUGGGUUUACUUUUUGCCUCUCUUUGCCCUACUGCUUUAAACUGCGAAUGUGGUAGGUAGCUAUUUUUAGAAUUUGGUGGGAUUUGGGUCUUCCUUUCAGGGCAGGAUGGGGACAGUUGAAUUUUUAUGAUGCCAUUUGCACGGCACUACACAGGAGCAGCUGGUUGUUCAUGUUAUUUGUUCCGGAGUUGUUUUGGGGGAAGGAGUAGGGUCAGGGGAUCUUAACUGGAAAGGGUAGAUUUGAGAGGCCUGGGUCCUGCCUGCAGGUGUCUGCUUCAGCUUCCUAGGAACUGUCUAGUUCCACAGAGGCUGGGGGACAAAACUACAUCUCCCAGAAUCCCCUGUAGCCCACGACCCAGGUGUGGGCUCUAUCAUCAGUGGGAUGCUCUCCUACAAAGUGGGAACAUGGACCUGAACUCUGGGGAAGGGUGGGGGACAUGCGGCAUGCACUGCGCUAGUACAGCUCAGAGCAGGGACCUCUUGGUACUGGCAAGGGGCCCCAUUUAAUAGAAGCAAAUUCCUGAUCUUGCCUCAGAGCUCACACCAGAGCUUGUUUCUUCAGCCCCCCACACCCCUGCCCCCAGCAGUUUAAGAAGCCAUUUAAUACUCUAUAAUAAACCCUUUUCUGAAACACUCCUGGUGUAAAAUUCAUUCUCUGUGAGCAGACCUUACACAUCUCUGGGAUAUUCCCACACUAGUGUGCUGCUUAGUAAUUGAGGGGUUGAGUUCAUCAGGGGAUGAUAAUGGAUUUAGGGUUAUGAGAAAGAAAAGGCAGAUGUGGAUUUAGAUCACUUAAUUCCUGUUUCUCUACUUAGGGUUCCUUCCUUUGGGUUCCCUACAAACAUUUCAAUAGCAAAUUAUCAAUAGCAAAUUUGUAGCUCUAACAAAGAAAUCUUUGAGUCCUUGAGGUACAUGUUCUUUCGGUGUCAGAUUCACAAACCAGAUCAGAAGUUAAAUUCAGAAGCAAAUAAGUGGUCUUCCCUGCUUCCCUAGCCUCAACUGCGGGUGCCAUAGGAUCUGCAUCCCUGAACCAGGCCUCGCUGUCUACACUUGGUCCCUGCCACUCUCCUCUGUAGCCCUGCCUAGAGAAUGGCCAGAGAACGGAUGGAAGGAAAAUACCAGGGCUAUGGUCCAUGACAGAAGCUAUUCUGACAUCCUUUGGAACACAAAGGAUAGUUCCCUCAAUGCCUAGAGGCUCUUCCCUCCAAAUGACAGUGAUUUUCUUCAGACGAGGGAUCCUGGCUGAAUUAAAGACCUUCUCAGUUGGAUAGAAACACAACUCAAACUUGCUCAACUGUCUCAGGGGACAUUUUUGGCUGGUGUAACUGACAAUUCCAGAAUGUGUCUGAGACAGCUGAUGCCUGGCACUGGGACGAUGUCAUUGGAACUCAGUUUCCCUCUGUAUUGUUCACUUCUGCCCUUCCCACUGGCAUCACUCCCAGGCAGGCUCACUCCUGGAAACAGCCCCUGACAAUAUAAGCAUACAUUCGACCAGGUUCAAGAUCGAAUAAAGAGAUUCUCUCUUUGCAAACUAUUCUAGCAGGAUUGAAGCUCCUUGAGUCAACAUGCAUCCAGUUAUUCUGAAGAUCCCAAAACCAAGAGUAAAACUCCAACUGGUUGGAUUUGGGUGCCAUCCUUACACCUAGAACAAGGUCGUGAAGCAGAGAGGGGGUGUUCAGUCCAUACGACCCACAUACACAGAGUGGAGAAAGGCAUUCUCUCCACUAAAAGAAAAAAUAAAUGGAGGAAGGGGUGUAGGUGCCAGACAAGCUAAACAACAGAUGUGAUGCUGCCUGGCCAUGGUAGACCAGCGCUCCUUCAGAGGGGACAGUAGAAAGCCAGAACUCUACAAAGCUUGGGGCAGAGCAAUAAGCAUGGGUCAAGAAUCCCAAAGAACAAGUUAGCCAGGAUAGCUGCCAAGAGCAGGGCUGGAACUCUACAGUGCAGGGCACACCCAACACCUCUCCAGCGAGCAGUGCCUGCUCUUUUAGCAGCUUUAGAGAAAACACUCCUGUGUUUACAAGAACAGAAAACUCUACAAUGUUCAGCUGCUUGAAAUGAACACUGCAAAGCCCGUUCAACUGUUAAA